rnacentral:rRNA from 1 species
GAUGAACGCUGGCGGCGUGCUUAACACAUGCAAGUCGAACGGAAAGGCCACAGCUUGCUGUGGUACUCGAGUGGCGAACGGGUGAGUAACACGUGGGUGAUCUGCCCUGUACUUCGGGAUAAGCUUGGGAAACUGGGUCUAAUACCGGCUAGGAAUCACAUGUGGGUGUGUGGUUGGAAAGCUUUUGCGGUAUGGGAUGAGCUCGCGGCCUAUCAGCUUGUUGGUGGGGUAAUGGCCUACCAAGGCGUCGACGGGUAGCCGGCCUGAGAGGGUGUACGGCCACAUUGGGACUGAGAUACGGCCCAGACUCCUACGGGAGGCAGCAGUGGGGAAUAUUGCACAAUGGGCGCAAGCCUGAUGCAGCGACGCCGCGUGGGGGAUGACGGCCUUCGGGUUGUAAACUCCUUUCGGCAGGGACGAAGCGAAAGUGACGGUACCUGGAGAAGAAGCACCGGCUAACUACGUG